CAGUGUUACAGCUCUUUUAGAAUUUGUCUAGCAGGUUUUCCGGCCCUCGCCGGAAAACCCCC
ensembl:snRNA U7 U7 small nuclear RNA